rnacentral:piRNA from 1 species
UAGCCAAGGAUCUUUAAUGUUUUAUAAUUGU